CAAGCCAAAGGUAGGGAUCCCGUUGUACGGCGCGCUGCGAGGAGACGGCGGAGGUAGGGAUCCCGUGCGCGCGCGGAGGAGGAAUCGAUUGCCGCCAAAGGCACAGAAGGGCGCGGCGGCGGCGAUGCGAAAUCAGUUAAAGGUAGAUGCCGCUCGGGUGAAGGCGGCUGCAGCUCGGAAGGAUGCGGCGCAGCUGCCGGAGCAGAGGAGCUCGUGCAAGGCGAUGCAUCUGCCGGAGCAGUUGAAGCCCGCGCGGAGGAGGGCCUGUGGGUGGAUGUGGCGCAGCUAAUCCACCAUCCUUGUUCACGGAUGCAAGCUGCUUGUUCAACUCUCAGCCAUGGGUUCUUUUCCAAUCUUCAGAUCCUGUGACAUGGUGAGGACAGUUUCAGACAUGGGGAACUAGUCGUUCUUAUUUCUUUUGUUUGAACUGAUGGCUGUUGAUAUGUCGUACCUAAAUUUAUUUUGUAUGAACUGAUGGUUAUUGGUGUGCCUACCUAAAUUUAUUUUGUAUGAACUGAAGGGUUGUAGGCAAGUUUUAUAGGACAUCAAUUCGUCCGGCGA